CAAAAAUGUUCCAGAUUCAAAAGUUUGUGCAAGGACAGUAAGUUUUAAAUUUCAAAAGACAGAAUAAAGGUGCCAUCCGAAAACUCAUGAGAGUUGGAAGAAAGUUUUUUCUGCUAGAUGGAUUAUAUGACAUAUGGAUGUUUUGAUAACAGAAGCCAACAGGCCAAACACCGAAGAAGCUGCAUCGGCUUGGCCGAAAAAAAUGCGUAGUUUAGGAUCCAGGUGCAAAGCUCGCUUAAAAUGCUAAUCUGUCCGCUCGAUGGGUUGGAUUAAGUGCGAUGGUCGUCCUUCACAUGUUGAGUCGAUACCGAAGAAGCAACACCGCUGAACUGUGCGGCAAUGGUGCCUUCUGGAGUUGGGAGAAUGCCUUCCAAUGCGAAGGCACACCACUGAUCUAUUGCUGCGGCAUUCGGAAAAGCUGCUCAAGAACAUCAACACAGCGCAGCGGGCCGAUCGAGCCGAUAUGGAUGCGGCUUAUUCAA